AGUGAACGCUGGCGGUAGGCCUAACACAUGCAAGUCGAACGGCAGCACAGUAAGAGCUUGCUCUUACGGGUGGCGAGUGGCGGACGGGUGAGGAAUACAUCGGAAUCUACUUUUUCGUGGGGGAUAACGUAGGGAAACUUACGCUAAUAUCGCAUAUGACCUACGGGUGAAAGCAGGGGAUCUUCGGACCUUGCGCGAUUGAAUGAGCCGAUGUCGGAUUAGCUAGUUGGCGGGGUAAAGGCCCACCAAGGCGACGAUCCGUAGCUGGUCUGAGAGGAUGAUCGGCCACACUGGAACUGAGACACGGUCCAGACUCCUACGGGAGGCAGCAGUGGGGAAUAUUGGACAAUGGGCGCAAGCCUGAUCCAGCCAUACCGCGUGGGUGAAGAAGGCCUUCGGGUUGUAAAGCCCUUUUGUUGGGAAAGAAAAGCAGCAGGUUAAUACCCCGCUGUUCUGACGGUACCCAAAGAAUAAGCACCGGCUAACUUCGUG
rnacentral:rRNA from 1 species